rnacentral:rRNA from 1 species
AUGGCAAACACCAAGCUUGUAGUCGUGGGCGUGGCCAUCCUUGUAAUCCUGCUGCAGGUGUCGACGUGCGCGGUGGCCCGGCACCACGCCAAGCCGGACCCGUGCGCCAGCGAGGACGACUCCGUGCCGGGCAUGCUGCACAAGCACAAGAAGCCCCACUGCACCUCGCCGGGCCGCAGCGGCGGCGGCGGCGGCGGCACCCCAGGCGUGAUGACGGUGAACGGCUUCCAGAAGGGCCAGGACGGCGGCGGGCCGUCGGAGUGCGACGGCAAGUACCACAGCAACGGCGACAUGAUCGUGGCGCUGUCGACGCGCUGGUACGCGGGCGGACGCCGGUGCGGCAAGAUGAUCCGCAUCACCAGCAAGCACAACGGGCGCACCGUGCAGGCCAAGGUGGUGGACGAGUGCGACUCCAACCACGGCUGCAAGACCAACAUCGUGGACACCUCCGAGGCCGUGUGGAAGGCGCUCGGGCUCGACAGCAACAUCGGCGAGGUGCCGGUGACAUGGUCCGACGCCUGA